rnacentral:lncRNA from 1 species
AACAAAAUUAAAAAGGCCAAUUUGCAUAAAAAAUCUACUUAUUUUGGACUUUUGCAAAACCGGGCCACCUUUUUCGUUUUUGCAGAUUCAGUCCGCUUUUUCAGCAAACUGACCAAAAUACCCUUAUUACUUUUUCUCUUUCUUCUUUCUCUCUCCUCUUCAUUUCUGUCGUUCUUUUUUUUUUUCUCGCCAAAAAAAAAGAGGCGGAUCGGACCGUCGCCUCCCUCCUCACCCUCCUUCUUCACCGUUGCCUCCCUCCUCACCCUCCUCUCCACCGCCCACGACCCCUCCUCCUCUCCCCCGCCGCNNN